GCUCCCAGCCCAGCGGGAUACACCUUUCUGAUCAAUCCUCCAGGCCAACCAAGGGAAGCUUUGGAAUUGCCUCAGUAGCAGACAUGAUAACAAGGAUUAUAGGGAGAUCACCUUGGACUCGUCAAGCUAUGCCAGUGAAGCAUAAGCUCUUGCAGACCCUCAUCAUCCUGGAAAGGCUUUUCGUCAUUUCAGAAGACAGACUGCAUUUCUUGUGUCGUAGGCUGGCCACAGAGUAGUGGACUAUUGGUCCUUAACAACUUUUGAAAAUCAUCUACUCCUUAAAGAGACAUUGCAAUCUUGGUAAGUGAAGAAUACUUGCAAAAACAUAAAUUGUUGAAAUAUUGAAACCUAAUGAUAUUAAAACUUUCAGAUGAAUCUUCCUAAACCACACAUCUGACCAUGUCAUUCCCUCCCCCCACUCCUCUGCUAUUCAAUAAAUUCCCAUUGCUUUCUAUUUCCUCUGAA